UACGGCUCAGUAACACGUGGACAAUCUGCCCUGAAGGAGAGAAUAAUCCCGGGAAACUGGGGGUAAUGCUCUAUAGUCCGGUAUGACUGGAAUGUCAGCCGGAUGAAAGAUCCGUCGCUUCAGGAUGAGUCUGCGGCCGAUUAGGUAGUUGUUGGGGUAAAAGCCCAACAAGCCUGUAAUCGGUACGGGUUGUGGGAGCAAGAGCCCGGAGAUGGAUUCUGAGACACGAAUCCAGGCCCUACGGGGCGCAGCAGGCGCGAAAACUUUACAAUGCGGGCAACCGUGAUAAGGAAACCCCGAGUGCCAGCACAGGCUGGCUGUCCACCAGUAUAAAAAGCUGGUGAAGAAAGGGCCGGGCAAGACCGGUGCCAGCCGCCGCGGUAAUACCGGCGGCUCGAGUGGUGGCCGCUUUUACUGGGCUUAAAGGGUCCGUAGCUGGAUUCACAAGUCCCUUGAGAAAUCUAUCGGCUUAACUGAUAGGCGUUCAGGGGAUACUGUGGUUCUAGGGACCGGGAGAGGUGAGAGGUACUGCCGGGGUAGGAGUGAAAUCCUGUAAUCCCGGUGGGACGACCUAUGGCGAAGGCAUCUCACCAGAACGGCUCCGACAGUGAGGGACGAAAGCUGGGGGAGCAAACCGGAUUAGAUACCCGGGUAGUCCCAGCUGUAAACGAUGCGCGUUAGGUGUGUCAGUGACCACGUGUCACUGAGGUGCCGAAGGGAAACCGUGAAACGCGCCGCCUGGGGA
rnacentral:rRNA from 1 species